rnacentral:rRNA from 1 species
CAGCACCUCAAGUGGUCAGGAUGAUUAUUGGGCCUAAAGCAUCCGUAGCCGGCGCUGUAAGUUUUCGGUUAAAUCUGUAUGCUCAACAUACAGGCUGCCGGGAAUACUGCAGAGCUAGGGAGUGGGAGAGGUAGACGGUACUCGGUAGGAAGGGGUAAAAUCCUUUGAUCUAUUGAUGACCACCUGUGGCGAAGGCGGUCUACCAGAACACGUCCGACGGUGAGGGAUGAAAGCUGGGGGAGCAAACCGGAUUAGAUACCCGUGUAGUCC